rnacentral:rRNA from 1 species
AAGACCUUGCGCUUUUGGAGCGGCCGAUGCCUGAUUAGCUAGUUGGUGGGGUAAUGGCCUACCAAAGCUUCGAUCAGUAGCUGGUCUGAGAGGACGGCCAGCCACACUGGGACUGAGACACGGCCCAGACUCCUACGGGAGGCAGCAGUGGGGAAUUUUGGACAAUGGGCGCAAGCCUGAUCCAGCCAUGCCGCGUGAGUGAAGAAGGCCUUCGGGUUGUAAAGCUCUUUCAGCCGGGAAGAAAAGGUUGCGAUUAAUAAUCGCAAUUUAUGACGGUACCGGAAGAAGAAGCACCGGCUAACUACGUGCCAGCAGCCGCGGUAAUACGUAGGGUGAGAGCGUUAAUCGGAAUUACUGGGCGUAAAGGGUGCGCAGGCGGUUUUGUAAGUCAGAUGUGAAAUCCCCGGGCUUAACCUGGGAACU